UCCAGAAGCUGCCACUCCAUGUGCUCUCAGAGAAUCCAGAUUCACAACAACUCUUCUUAGCAUCAAGAGCCACCAAUGGAAUCCCCCGAUCUCCUCCUCUGCAAAUCGAGAAUUUAAAAUUGCGAAUAAGAUCCUGCCAUUGAUUAAAACAAUGGAAAACUUGAAAAGGCCAUCGACAAAUGAAAACAUCAGAUAAUCACACAUAAGAAUCGAGAUCAGAACAGCGCAGAUAGAGGACCGAUUCAUCUCUUUUCGACUGCCUAAUCCAUAGGAACAAAAAAGGAGCUCCGUUAUUCCUCGAUCAUUUCCAACCAUGACGACAGAACCGAGAUCACCAUGGACGCAACGAAAGGCUAUACAAUAAAAAGUUCGCGAGCUUAGUAGCAAAUCGAUCCUAACUCAGAACAACCGUCCCGAUCACGCCAUCAACGCUGUCGUCAACUUCCACGGUUAACUAUCAACAAUCCAGAAAACUCAACAAACAAAAUGCAACGUCUCCAUGCGAAUUCGAAAAAGCACAAUCGGAGGACGACGAGCACCGGUACCGACAAACUGCGAAGCUAAUAAAGCGAGCUCAAAAAAAGCACUCGGCAGUCAACGCUCAACGAAGAAGACUCCGUACAACGACUAAAAGGCGAAGAAAGCGCGUUCACCAGCGAGGAGAAUCGCAACAGCCCGAACUCGAAGUCGACCGCUUCGAAAACCGAGCCGAGACGGAAUCGCCGCACGAAUCUCGGAUCAAGCCGCGUCCGACUCGGAUUCCGACUCGCCUCGAACUCAGCCCGCUCGACAGAGCUCCCGAUCCCCGCGCGAUCACAAGCCGGGAGUGAAAAAGAAAUUCCAAACGGAAACCCGGCGGAUUACGGGGCCACCCGGCUCGAACUCGCCGCGAGGCGCGGGAAAGACGACGCGGUUUACGAGGCGGCCGGCCGACGGACGGAGGCGUUGCGGCGGCGACGAGGAGGCGGAAGAAGGACUCGAGAAACGACGCGGGCGGGGGAGCGGACGAGAGAGAGGGAGGGAGGGCGUGGGGAUUUAAGGCGAGAGGGAGGAUUAGGAUUAGCGUGAGCUUGCCGUUUUCUCUUCUUCCGCCGCGAGGGUAGGGGGAGGAGAGGAGGAGGAUGACGUCAGGCUUCGGUUGGUGCGAGCUGCUGCGCAGGGAGCGAGGAUACCGAGAAAAUCCACAGUUGCAGAGAGGGAGAGGGAGAGAAGUUGGCGAUCGCUGACGUUGAAGUGGAGAGAGAGAGAGGGGAGACUGGGGAAUUGGGAGUGGAAGGCAAGUAAUGAAGACGGGGUAGAUUUUUU
rnacentral:lncRNA from 1 species